AUUCGUCUGUUGAAGAGAAGAGUAGUUUUGUCGAUCUUUUUAGAGAGGUUCUGGUUGGUGAAAAGAACUAAGGGAGAGAAGCGAAGAUGGUCUCUGAGGAUAAUCCAUCGAUAGGUAGGUGGGUUCGGUCUGGCCGACCGUUAACAUGGACACCAUUUCUUAUAGAUGAUGAGAUGGGUUAAGGAAAGCUGAUGCUUUCAAAUAAAGGUGGUACCACGGUUAUACGUCCUUUUG
rnacentral:ncRNA from 1 species